GGGGCUCUCAGUCCAUGCUAGGUGGGGUGCUGGGGGGCUCUCAGUCCUUGCUAGGUGGGGUGCUGGGGGUCUCUCAGUCCUUGCUAUGAGUGGAUUUGGGGGCCUCUCAGUCCUUGCUAUGAGUGGAUUUGGGGGGCUCUCAGUCCAUGCUAUGAGUGGAUUUGGGGGUCUCUCAGUCCUUGCUAUGAGUGGAUUUGGGGGGCUCUCAGUCCAUGCUAGGUGGGGUGCUGGGGGGCUCUCAGUGCUGGGGCCCCUGCUAGGCAGAGAGCCGGUGCAGGGGGCCCCUCCCAGGAGCUGGAGCAGGAGUUGGAGCAGGAGCUGGAGCCCCGCAGCCCGGAUCAUCCUGCGG